CAAUGGCCAAGAGCAGAGCAGGACAGAGGAGCCUCUUAAAGAAGAAGUUACAGUCAUCUCAGACCCGCCCUGGCACAGUACCUGGACUUCACCCCCACGCCGAUGACCUCCGAUCUCCAGAAAAUUGGCCUGACCUCUGAGUUCUUGGACUUCAUGGUGUGGGACCUUGGGAAAGACUGAGGAGACCAACACUAUAAAGCCAGGUGGGAGAUUGCUGGAGAGCACGGAAAUCUGCUGGACGAGGACACCUGGCUCCAGAACGAUGACAACUGGUGAAACCACACAUGAAAGACAAUCCUGUUGAGUGAACAAUUAUCUUCACCUCAUGAUUCAUAAGUGUGUGUUUGUGUGUCUGUCUAGAAACAUGAAAAUAUGUUAUUUCCUUAAUAAAGAUACAUUUCUUCAUCCC